rnacentral:rRNA from 1 species
UUUCGAAUCAUUCACAAUGGGCGAAAGCCUGAUGGUGCGACGCCGCGUGGGGGACGAAGGUCUUCGGAUUGUAAACCCCUGUCACCGGGGAAGAAACGCUUCAUUUUAACAGAAUGAAGCCUGACUUAACCCGGAGAGGAAGCAGUGGCUAACUCUGUGCCAGCAGCCGCGGUAAUACAGAGACUGCAAGCGUUAUUCGGAUUCACCGGGCGUAAAGGGUGCGCAGGCGGACGCGUGUGUAAGGUGUGAAAGCCCGAGGCUUAACCUCGGAAUUGCGCCUGAAACUACGUGACUAGAGCAUUUGAUGUGGUAGCUGAAUUCACGGUGUAGCAGUGAAAUGCGUAGAUAUCGUGGGGAACACCAGAGGCGAAGGCGGCUACCUGGACAAUUGCUGACUCUCAGGCACGAAAGCGUGGGGAGCAAAAG